rnacentral:rRNA from 1 species
GACGAACGCUGGCGGCGUGCCUAACACAUGCAAGUCGAACGAAGAAUGUUUUCGGAAUAUUCUUAGUGGCGGACGGGUGAGUAACGCGUGAACAAUCUGCCCCGUACAAAGGGAUAGCCUCGGGAAACCGGGAUUAAAACCAUAUAACACUUAACUGCCGCAUGGUAGUGAAGUCAAAUCGAGUAAGAGGUAUGGGAUGAGUUCGCGUCUGAUUAGCUAGUUGGUGAGGUAAGGGCUCACCAAGGCGACGAUCAGUAGCCGGCCUGAGAGGGUGAACGGCCACACUGGAACUGAGACACGGUCCAGACUCCUACGGGAGGCAGCAGUGGGGAAUAUUGCACAAUGGAGGGAACUCUGAUGCAGCGACGCCGCGUGAGUGAAGAAGGUCUUCGGAUCGUAAAACUCUGUCCUUGGUGAAGAAAGGGACGGUAGCCAAGGAGGAAGCCCCGGCUAACUACGUG